rnacentral:rRNA from 1 species
UGGGGAAUAUUGGACAAUGGGCGCAAGCCUGAUCCAGCAAUGCCGCGUGAGUGAUGAAGGCCUUAGGGUUGUAAAGCUCUUUUACCAGGGAUGAUAAUGACAGUACCUGGAGAAUAAGCUCCGGCUAACUCCGUGCCAGCAGCCGCGGUAAUACGGAGGGAGCUAGCGUUGUUCGGAAUUACUGGGCGUAAAGCGCACGUAGGCGGCUAUUCAAGUCGGGGGUGAAAGCCCGGGGCUCAACCCCGGAACUGCCCUCGAAACUAGGUAGCUAGAAUCUUGGAGAGGUCAGUGGAAUUCCGAGUGUAGAGGUGAAAUUCGUAGAUAUUCGGAAGAACACCAGUGGCGAAGGCGACUGACUGGACAAGUAUUGACGCUGAGGUGCGAAAGCGUGGGGAGCAAACAGG